rnacentral:rRNA from 1 species
CCUACGGGAGGCAGCAGUGGGGNUUGCGCAAUGGGCGAAAGCCUGACGCAGCCAUGCCGCGUGAAUGAUGAAGGUCUUAGGAUUUAAAAUUCUUUCACCGGGGACGAUAAUGCGGUACCCGGAGAAGAAGCCCCGGCUAACUUCGUGCCAGCAGCCGCGGUAAUACGAAGGGGGCUAGCGUUGCUCGGAAUUACUGGGCGUAAAGGGCGCGUAGGCGGAUCGUUAAGUCAGAGGUGAAAUCCCAGGGCUCAACCCUGGAACUGCCUUUGAUACUGGCGAUCUUGAGUAUGAGAGAGGUAUGUGGAACUCCGAGUGUAGAGGUGAAAUUCGUAGAUAUUCGGAAGAACACCAGUGGCGAAGGGACAUACUGGCUCAUUACGCGUGAGGCGCGAAAGCGUGGGGAGCAAACAGGAUUAGAUACCCUGGUAGUCCACGCCGUAAACGAUGAUUGCUAGUUGUCGGGCUGACAUGCAGUUCGGUGACUGCAGCUAACGCAUAGAGCAAUCCGCCUGGGGAGUACGGUCGCAAGAUUAAAACUCAAAUGAAUUGACGGGG